AAUCAACGCUGGCGGCGUGCCUAACACAUGCAAGUCGAACGCGAAAGUCCCGCAAGGGAUCAGUAGAGUGGCAAACGGGUGAGUAACACGUGGGUGACCUGCCUUCGAGCGGGGGAUAACGUCCCGAAAGGGACGCUAAUACCGCAUAACAUCCUGCCUUUGAAGAGGUGGAGAUCAAAGCUGGGGAUCGCAAGACCCGGCACUUGAAGAGGGGCCCGCGCCUGAUUAGCAGUUGGUGAGGUAACGGCUCACCAAGGCAACGAUCAGUAUCCGGCCUGAGAGGGCGGACGGGACACACUGGGACUGAGACACGGCCCAGACUCCUACGGGAGGCAGCAGGUGGGGAAUUGUUCGCAAUGGGCGCAAGCCUGACGACGCAACGCCGCGUGGAGGAUGAAGAUUUUCGGAUCGUAAACUCCUG
rnacentral:rRNA from 1 species